rnacentral:rRNA from 1 species
AUUGAACGCUGGCGGCAUGCCUUACACAUGCAAGUCGAACGGUAACAGGUCUUCGGAUGCUGACGAGUGGCGAACGGGUGAGUAAUACAUCGGAACGUGCCUAGUAGUGGGGGAUAGCUACUCGAAAGAGUGGCUAAUACCGCAUGAGAUCUACGGAUGAAAGCAGGGGAUCGCAAGACCUUGUGCUACUAGAGCGGCCGAUGGCAGAUUAGGUAGUUGGUGGGAUAAAAGCUUACCAAGCCGACGAUCUGUAGCUGGUCUGAGAGGACGAUCAGCCACACUGGGACUGAGACACGGCCCAGACUCCUACGGGAGGCAGCAGUGGGGAAUUUUGGACAAUGGGCGCAAGCCUGGUCCAGCAAUGCCGCGUGCAGGAUGAAGGCCUUCGGGUUGUAAACUGCUUUUGUACGGAACGAAAAGCCCUGGGUUAAUACCCUGGGGUCAUGACGGUACCGUAAGAAUAAGCACCGGCUAACUACGUGCCAGCCGCCGCAGUAAUAC